rnacentral:tRNA from 1 species
GAGGGUAUAGCUCAGUGGUAGAGCACAUGCUUAGCAUACAUAAGGUCCUGGGUUCAAUCCCCAGUACCUCCA